UGAACGCUGGCGGCAGGCCUAACACCUGUAAGUCGAACGGAGUUAUAUUGUAGCUUGCUAUGGUAUAACUUAGUGGCAGACGGGUGAGUAAUGUAUAGGAAUCUACCUAGUAGUACGGAAUAAUUGUUGGAAACGGCAACUAAUACCGUAUACGCCCUACGGGGGAAAAAUUUAUUGCUAUUAGAUGAGCCUAUAUUAGAUUAGCUAGUUGGUGGAGUAAUAGCCUACCAAGGCAAUGAUCUAUAGCUGAUCUGAGAGGAUGAUCAGCCACACUGGAACUGAGAUACGGUCCAGACUCCUACGGGAGGCAGCAGUGGGGAAUAUUGGACAAUGGGCGAAAGCCUGAUCCAGCCAUGCCGCAUGAGUGAAGAAGGCCUUUGGGUUGUAAAGCUCUUUUAGUGAGGAAGAUAAUGACGGUACUCACAGAAGAAGUCCUGGCUAACUCCGUGCCAGCAGCCGCGGUAAUACGGAGAGGGCUAGCGUUAUUCGGAAUUAUUGGGCGUAAAGGGCGCGUAGGCGGAUUAGUAAGUUAAAAGUGAAAUCCCAAGGCUCAACCUUGGAAUUGCUUUUAAAACUGCUAAUCUAGAGAUUGAAAGAGGAUAGAGGAAUUCCUAGUGUAGAGGUGAAAUUCGUAAAUAUUAGGAGGAACACCAGUGGCGAAGGCGUCUAUCUGGUUCAAAUCUGACGCUGAGGCGCGAAGGCGUGGGGAGCAAACAGGAUUAGAUACCCUGNUAGUCCACGCUGUAAACGAUGAAUGUUA
rnacentral:rRNA from 1 species